rnacentral:lncRNA from 9 species
CCGUCCAAAAGCACAGGAUGCGCUUUCUCUGCUGUUGGCCCAUCUGCCAGCCUCUCCUGUCACCCCCAAGCCCGCCGGCCAGUCGGAGUCUCCUGGUCCUGGUACAUAUCUACGAAAUUGGCCUUGGCCCCCGACCAGGGCCUGGGAGGGACGCCAGCCUCCUGCCGCUCCCUGGGGAGUCCCUGUGAGCUGACAUGGCUCCAGUCCCACCUGGCACCGAGUUCCGGCUUUCACUGACGCCUCCAUCUGCCCCGUGCCAGCCGUCCCCUUCUCCAGACGUCACACUCACACUGCUUUAGGAGCUCCCUGCCGUAGGUGGCUUUUUCCGGGCUCAUCACAGCCUCUGACAUCUUUCAGCUGAAACGAGGCAACCCUGGCUGAAGAUGUCCCAUGGCCAGGACUCCAUGGGGAGCUCUGUCCAGAACCUGCCCAAACUGCUCUUUCAUCAAAACGGCCCGUCAGAGUGGCCUGGAACCAAACCCACGCUAUCUUCGAGGUCAGCCUGUACUGUUCUAGCCCCAGGUCACCAGCAGAAAAUGAUGAACAAGAUAGGUAUGGUCCAUGGCCUACUGGAGCUCACCCUCCACCCAGGAAGAAAUAUUAAAUGAUCGAGUGUGAUAAAAAGUGUCAUUACGGAGUUCCCGUCGUGGCGCAGUGGUUAACGAAUCCGACUAGGAACCAUGAGGUUGUGGGUUUGGUCCCUGCCCUGGCUCAGUGGGUUAACGAUCUGGCGUUGCCGUGAGCUGUGGUGUAGGUGGCAGACGCGGCUCGGAUCCCGUGUUGCUGUGGCUCUGGCGUAGGCCGGUGGCUACAGCUCCGAUUUGACCCCUAGCCUGGGAACCUCCAUAUGCCGCGGGAGCGGCCCAAGAAAUAGCAAAAAAAAAAAAAAAAAAAAAAGUGUCAUUACUAGGAUGGGGAACGAAAGAGGAUGUAGGGGACCACGGAGGAGGGGCCAUACUCUCACAACAAAUUAAUGGGAGAUGGGGCAGGCAGGAGGAGCAGCAGGCCAAGCCUGGGAUGCUAAGAGCCUGAAAAAUAACAGAAGCUUCCCCAGAGGAUAGCCACUGGCCACAUGUGGCUUUUUAAACGUAAAUCAGUGAAAAGUAAAUAGAGCUAAAAUUCAGUUCCUCAGUGCUCAAAACCCAGGCCACAGGUACUGAGCAUUCUUAUUGCAGGAGGGGUAUUAUUGGUCUGGGCUGGUCCAUACCCGACGCUGCCCUGUCUGUUGUGACAGUGACCAGCCACAAGGUGGGGCUGCUGAGCCCUCGAAAUGUGCCCCUGGGGAACUGAAUAUCAAAAUUUAUUGCAUUGUAAUGACUUGACAUUUUUUCUUUGCUUUUUUUUUUUUUUUUGCCACUUCUUGGGCCGCUCCUGCGGCAUAUGGAGGUUCCCAGGCUAGGGGUCUAAUCGGAGCUGUAGCCACCGGCCUACGCCAGAGCCACAGCAAUGAGGGAUCCGAGCUGCGGCUGCAACCUACACCACAGCUCACGGCAAUGACAGAUCCUUAACCCACUGAGCAAGGCCAGGGAUCGAACCCACAACCUCAUGGUUCCUAGAGGGAUUGGUUAAUCACUGUGCCACGAUGGGAACUCCUGAGUUUACAUUUUAAACAUCUUUAAUUCAGUCAUUGGAAGACUCAAUUAUAUUUGGAAGAACUGGGAUGUCUGAAUCUAUUUUUCCAACUGUACAUUUUAUGAAAUCUAAAUACAGAUGAAGUUGGAAGUUUCCUAUAGAAAGAACACACACCAGAUGGUGAAGUCAUAGUAUCAAAAAAAAAAAGAAGGUAAACCAUCUCACUAAUAAACUUUAUAUUGGUGACAUGCUGGGCUGAUGAUAAUUUGGAUCCAGUACGUUAAAAAAAAAGAUGCGAGUAAAAUUAUCUGGCCUGUUUCUUUCCUUUUCAGUGUGGACAUUGAAACAUUUUAAACUACAUAUGUGGGGAGUUCCCAUCGUGGCUCAGCGGUAACUAAGCCAACUAGUAUCCAUGAGGACACAGGUUCGAUCCCUGGCCUUGCUCCGUGGGUUAAGGAUUCCCACGUUGCUGUGGCUGUGGUGUCGGCCGGCAGCUGCAGCUCCCAUUCCACCCUUACCCUGGGAACUUCUACAUGCCAUGGGUGUGGCCCUAAAAAGACAAAAACAUAAAAUAAAUUACAUGCGUUAGCAAUGAGACCCUGCUGUGUAGCAUUGGAAAUUAUGUCUGGUCACUUAUGAUGGAGCAUGAUACUGUGAGAAAAAAGAAUGUAGGCAUUCCCGUCGUGGCUCAGUGGUUAACGAAUCCGACUAGGAACCAUGAGGUUGCAGGUUCGAUCCCUGGCCUUGCUCAGUGGGUUAAGGAUCCGGCAUUACCGUGAGCUGUGGUGUAGGUUACAGACGCAGCUCAGAUCCCGUGCUGCUGUGGCUCUGGUGUAGGCCGGCGGCAACAGCUCGGAUUAGACCCCUAGCCUGGGAAACUCCAUAUGCCGCGGAAGCGGCCCUAGAAAAGGCAAAAAGACAAAAAAAAAAAAAGGAAAAAAGAAUGUAUGCAUGUAUGUGUGACUGGGUCACCUUGCUGUACAGUAGAAAAUUGACAGAACACUAUAAACCAGCAAUAAUGGAAGAAAAUAAACAUCAUUAUACAAAUUUAAAAAUUUUUAAAAGUCAAUCAAUUAAUUAAUUAAAAUACAUGUGUGACUUGAGUUUCUUUCCAUGGGACAACGCAGGCCCAGGGCUUGGAGGGUUGGGCCGUGAGCCGAGACGUCAGCAGUGGGUUUGGAGGUCUUGUCGCUCAAAACUAUUUUUAAGGCAAGAAAAGAAAAACUUUAAACAAAAUUCUCUCUCUGUGCAUUUGAGCCAUUACCCUCUCCCCUUUAGUGUGCAUUGUGCAUCUGUGUUACACACUAACUAGUUCCCCU